rnacentral:lncRNA from 1 species
AUGGAAUCAUUCUUUUUCGGUUUUAUUUUAACUAUCGCUGCGGGAUAUUUAACUGAUAACACGUUAUCUCUACAAAUACAAGCUGUUUUUGUCAUAAAGCAAAGGAAUAGGCUAAAUAACAUCUCACGUCGUUGCGGGGGGGUGACGUGUGUGACGUGUGUGACGUCAGGCUCAUCGUCCCAGUAUAAAAGCUCCAGCAGCAGCCGGCGUCUCGCUUUAGACGAGCCCACCUGCGCGUGUCCGUCAGCCUCACUCUUCAUCCUCAUCCUCAUCCUCCUCUUCAUCACCAGGAUGGCUCAGAUGACCCCCAUCGGUCUCGUUUUCUGCGCUUUCUGCUUAAUCACUCAGGUUUUAUCUCAGAGCACAGUCGCACAGAGAAACUCCACCGCAGUGACCGGAAACCAGACCUCCUGGACGACAGUCCCGUUUAGCGCCCCGGCGAACUCCACCACCGCUCCGGCGGGCACCGGCGUCCUGACGCAGGCCAGCGCGCUCAACGUGCUCGUCCCCGUCGCCAUGGUAACCGGCCUUCUGCAGCGCUGGUGCUGAGGCGGAUCCAGAGCGCGUUCACGUGUUCUCUCCUCCUGCACCGCAACAUCUCCACAAGAACAGUCCCUCACGGAUCUCCACUUCACCGGAGCGCGCGGGAGAAGCAGAAGCACGAACGGAUGGAUGAUGAUAAAUCAAACCGCACCUGGCUUCCGUUCCCACAACCAAACAUCCUCUCCCCGUUUUUUGUUUUUGCAUUGCUGAUUCUGUAGAGUAAUAUGGAAAAAGUUCUACUGACCGGGACACUGAACGAUGUUAGCUUGACCAAACUACACUAAACUAAAAUAAACGGCACUGAGUUUCAACACUUGGUAUUUCAUUCCAGUUUCAGGUGGAUUUUCAUCUGGUUUUGCCCACUUUAGUUAUGAAUCAAACUGUUAGUCGUUCGCUGGCAUGAGAUGGACACUUUGUAAUAUUGUUUUUUUCUUGCAUAGUUUAUAUUUUGUACAAAUCGAAAUGUUUAAUUGUUUGUACGCUUGAAAGCACGAGAACAUGAGAAUAAAGAAAUGUACAGUUGAAUGAAACACGUUUGGCUCAUUUGAUGAAUGGGAUAUGCAAAGAAUUCUACUGUAAAUACAUGUUGAAAUUCAAAAGUUUGGAAUAAAAGAAAAUAUUAUUAGAGUCAUUUUACAAGAAAUUAGGACCAGGUCUUGUAGAUGUAAAUCCGACGUAAAACAGACGUCUCCGAGAUGUACGCGUGCUGUCUGGGUUUCUACUCCAACAUGCAGAAUGGUUCAUUCAACGUGUUAGUUUAGCUUCAUUUCAUUUCACUUUUAAUAUCAAGGAUGCAAUAUAAUAAAACAGAGAAAGGUGUGCUUGUGGAACUCUGAUUGUAGUUUAACACGCAGUGAACAAAGUAACCCAAAAGUCAAAAUAGCAGCAUAACAAAUAAAUAAAUAUGUGAAAUAACUAAAAUAGUAUGGCGAAGUAAUACGGACAUGUAAUGCGGUCAAGACCUGGCUGGAACUACUUUCGCUGUGCAUUUCUCUGAAAAUAGCUGCACACCUCAGAACAUUCUCCAGCCAAUCAGAUAGAGAAUGUUUAUUCCUGAGGAAGGAAUAGAGUCCGACUUGACACCAGAAGUCUCACACAUUCACGGCCGCAGUUUCUUUACUAAGAAGGUGGAUGUUAUUCAAGUGAGAGGAUCUGAUGACGAGAAGGAUUAUUAAGACUUAACUGAUUUUUCUUUAAGAAUAGCAUCACCAAUGAGUCGUUCACGAUCGAUCAGCACCGAGCAGCUGAGUUCUGUAUAAAGGUCUUUAAUCAUUGAUCGUCCUCUUGCAUUAUUCAGGCUGAGCUGCAGGUUAUGGUCACAGGACAGCAGCGGUAUGAAACACAAACUGCAUGCUGGGAAAAAAGUCAACGAGCUGAUUAAACCACAGGAUGUUCAAAAUCUGUGGAAAUCUGCUGAACACUGGCGAAGCGGGCGCUAUUGUGUGUGUGAGACGGGUGUGUGAAUGGAGGGAUGUGAGUGUGUGUGUGUGAUUUUGGGAGAGUAGGAAAGGCUUUGUUGAAGACUGGAAGCGGGUCUGUGUGUCUGCUAUCUGCUGUGAAGCAAAACCAGCUCAGACAAGAGUUUCUGUCCCACAAACACAUUCCACAUGUGGUGUCUACACACAAACUGACCGCUACUGUGACCUGUGUGUGUGUGUGUGUGUAUGUUUUUGAGUGAGUAUGAAGUCCAUACUGCCAAAUCUUAUUUCCACAACAAGAUCAACGGCACUCGUAAUCACGUACACACUAAAUCUCUUCAACACAUUCAAUUCUCUCCUCUGUCCCCCUCCACCACCUCCCACCACUUCUAUAACAGCUAAUGAUUUCCUCACAUUCUUCACAGAUGAAACAGAACAAUCAAAAGUUAAUUAUCAGCCCCACGCACACAAGAUCUCAAACCAACCACACCCAGUUCAAAACUCCCAUCUUCUCCUUCUGUCCCAUCACUGAGGCAGAAAUAUCAAAUCUUCUCCUCUCCAGCCAUCCUACAACAUGCCCUCAUGACCCAAUCCCCUCACACCUCCUCCGAACAAUCUCUCCUUCACUUUUACCAGCACUCACACACAUCAUCAACACAUCUCUCCUCACAGACACCUUCCCCACUGCAUUCAAGCAGACUCAGGUAACCCACUGUUAAAAAACCUUCAUUAAACUCUUCACUUACAGAUAGCUACAGACCCGUCUCUCUCCUUCCAUUCAUAGCGAAAACCCUAAAAAGAGUUGUUUUCAACCAGAUAUCAUUGUUUCUUUCACAGAACAACAAACUGGACAUUAACCAGUCAGGUUAAGGAGUGGCCUUUCAACGGAGACUGCUCUACUCUCAGUCACGGAAGCCCUGAGGAUUGCAAAAGCUGAUUCAAAAACAUCAGUUCUUAUUCUGCUGGAUCAAUCAUCACACUGUUAAUAAUCAGAUCCUCCUGUCUGCUCUCUCAUCACUGGGCAUUAUAAGCAUUCCACUUCACUGAUUUGAAUUAUAUCAUACUGAUAGGUCUUUCAGGGUCUAUAGGUAGGUAGUGAGUGAAGAGGUAUCAUAUCAAUCACAAGUGCAGUAUGGAGUACCUCAAGGCUCAGUACUAGGGCCGCUACUCUUCACGCUUUAUAUGUUACCCUUGGGAGAUAUCAUCAGGAAACACAGUGUUAGCUUUCACUGUUAUGCUGAUAGGUCUUUCAGGGUGGCUUGGGGAGGGGAGGUAUCCAAAGCACAUCAUCUGGGGUUCAUCAGGGAUCAGUUCUAUGACCCCUUUUCUUCUCCAUAUAAAUGACAUCACUGGGUCCCAUCAUACAGGCACAUGACUUCUCCUUCCAUUGCUAUGCUGAUGACACACAGCUCUAUCUUUCAUUUCAACCAGAUGAUCCAACGGUAGCUGCACAGAUCUCAGGCUGCCUGGAGAACAUCUCGGCGUGGAUGAAUGAACAUCACCUACAGCUCAACCUGGCAAAGACUGAGCUUCUUGUCUUCCCUGCCGCUCCAACUCUACAGUAUGAGUUCUUCAUUCAGCUAGGCUCUUCUACAAUCACCCCAUAAACUUCAGUCAGAAAUCUUGGUGUAAUCUUUGAUGACCAGCUGACCUUCAAGACCUCAUUGCAAAGACUGCUUGAUCUUGCAGGUUUACAUUGCAUUACAUCAGAAAGAUUAGGCCCUGUCCAACGGAGCAUGCUGCACAGCUUCUUGUCUAGGCCCUUGUCAUUUCUAACCUGGACUACUGCAGUGCUCCUUUGGCUGGACUUCCAUCAAUCACAAUCAAACCUCUACAAAUGAUUCAGAAUGCAGCGGCACGACUGGUCUUCAAUGAACCCAAAAGAGCCCAUGUCACACCUCUCUUUAUCUCCUUGCACUGGCUACCGGUUGCGGCUCGCAUCAAGUUCGAGACAUUGAUGCUUGCAUAUAGAACAGCCACAGACUCAGCACCCCUCUACUUCCACUCACUAUAACGAAUCUACAUCACCUCCAGAAGUCUGAGAUCUGCCAGUGAGCAACACCUUGUGGUACCAUCACAGAGAGCCUCAAAUUCACUUUCCAGAACAUUCUCCUUCACCAUUCCUGGCAAUUAAUGAUCUUCCCACCCCUAUCCAAAUGCUGAAUCCCUGACAAUUUUUAAGAAACAGCUGAAGACUCAUCUCUUCGAAUCCACUUGACUUCUUCCUAAAAAAACAAAAAGAAAAAACCUUGUCUUUCUGUUUAUCUAUUCCUUCCCUUUCUAGCCUGUACUCAUUCAGACAAUGCCUAAAACUUGGUAUUACAAGCACUUCCUGUGUCUGUUUUUAUCUCUUUAAGAAGAUCCGCUUUAUGAAUCCCCCAAUCCCCCAAUAAAUCGGUUUGGAUAAAAGUGUUUUUGCAUCUGCAAAAUGACUAAAUGUGAAUAUAGAUGUAAAAGAGAGAAAAUCACUUGAUGCUCUUUACGGAAUUAAUUUUUAGUUUUAACAAAAAUAAAUCUAUAUUUAAUUUAUACAGUGAAGACAUUUUACAUUUGAUUAUUCAGUUUCUGUACACUCAAAAAUGCUGUGUUGUUUAGACCCAACUUUGGGUCACAUAUGGACUAAUCCAACCACUGAGUUACUUUUUUAAAUUAAAAUUUUAACCCAAAAGUUGUGUUUUGACCCAAAGUUGGAGUGGGUCUGGACAAAUUUGUUGGCAUUAAUGGAAGUGCAUUAGCAUGAUUUAAUUAUAUGACCGCCAUCAGUUUGUAGCAGUGAAUGAAGAUGUAUCAUAUUGAUCACAAGUGCAGUAUGGAGUACCUCAAGGCUCAGUACUAGGGC